AAAUUGAAGAGUUUGAUCAUGGCUCAGAUUGAACGCUGGCGGCAGGCCUAACACAUGCAAGUCGAGCGGUAGCACAGAGAGCUUGCUCUCGGGUGACGAGCGGCGGACGGGUGAGUAAUGUCUGGGAAACUGCCUGAUGGAGGGGGAUAACUACUGGAAACGGUAGCUAAUACCGCAUAACGUCGCAAGACCAAAGUGGGGGACCUUCGGGCCUCAUGCCAUCAGAUGUGCCCAGAUGGGAUUAGCUAGUAGGUGGGGUAAUGGCUCACCUAGGCGACGAUCCCUAGCUGGUCUGAGAGGAUGACCAGCCACACUGGAACUGAGACACGGUCCAGACUCCUACGGGAGGCAGCAGUGGGGAAUAUUGCACAAUGGGCGCAAGCCUGAUGCAGCCAUGCCGCGUGUAUGAAGAAGGCCUUCGGGUUGUAAAGUACUUUCAGCGAGGAGGAAGGCGUUAAGGUUAAUAACCUUAGCGAUUGACGUUACUCGCAGAAGAAGCACCGGCUAACUCCGUGCCAGCAGCCGCGGUAAUACGGAGGGUGCAAGCGUUAAUCGGAAUUACUGGGCGUAAAGCGCACGCAGGCGGUCUGUCAAGUCGGAUGUGAAAUCCCCGGGCUCAACCUGGGAACUGCAUUCGAAACUGGCAGGCUAGAGUCUUGUAGAGGGGGGUAGAAUUCCAGGUGUAGCGGUGAAAUGCGUAGAGAUCUGGAGGAAUACCGGUGGCGAAGGCGGCCCCCUGGACAAAGACUGACGCUCAGGUGCGAAAGCGUGGGGAGCAAACAGGAUUAGAUACCCUGGUAGUCAGUCCACGCCGUAAACGAUGUCGACUUGGAGGUUGUGCCCUUGAGGCGUGGCUUCCGGAGCUAACGCGUUAAGUCGACCGCCUGGGGAGUACGGCCGCAAGGUUAAAACUCAAAUGAAUUGACGGGGGCCCGCACAAGCGGUGGAGCAUGUGGUUUAAUUCGAUGCAACGCGAAGAACCUUACCUACUCUUGACAUCCAGAGAACUUAGCAGAGAUGCUUUGGUGCCUUCGGGAACUCUGAGACAGGUGCUGCAUGGCUGUCGUCAGCUCGUGUUGUGAAAUGUUGGGUUAAGUCCCGCAACGAGCGCAACCCUUAUCCUUUGUUGCCAGCGAUUGGUCGGGAACUCAAAGGAGACUGCCAGUGAUAAACUGGAGGAAGGUGGGGAUGACGUCAAGUCAUCAUGGCCCUUACGAGUAGGGCUACACACGUGCUACAAUGGCAUAUACAAAGAGAAGCGACCUCGCGAGAGCAAGCGGACCUCAUAAAGUAUGUCGUAGUCCGGAUUGGAGUCUGCAACUCGACUCCAUGAAGUCGGAAUCGCUAGUAAUCGUAGAUCAGAAUGCUACGGUGAAUACGUUCCCGGGCCUUGUACACACCGCCCGUCACACCAUGGGAGUGGGUUGCAAAAGAAGUAGGUAGCUUAACCUUCGGGAGGGCGCUUACCACUUUGUGAUUCAUGACUGGGGUGAAGUCGUAACAAGGUAACCGUAGGGGAACCUGCGGUUGGAUCACCUCCUUA
rnacentral:rRNA from 1 species